rnacentral:rRNA from 1 species
ACCGGAUGCGGAUCUCGAAAGCCUGUCCCAGUUCGGACUGGAGUCUGCAACCCGACUCCACGAAGUUGGAUUCGCUAGUAAUCGCGCAUCAGCCAUGGCGCGGUGAAUACGUUCCCGGGCCUUGUACACACCGCCCGUCACACCAUGAGAGUUGGGGAUACCCAAAGCCCGUGAGCCAACUUAUAAGAGGCAGCGGUCUAAGGUAGAAUCAAUGAUUGGGGUGAAGUCGUAACAAGGUAUC